CCUACGGGAGACAGCAGUGAGGAAUAUUGGUCAAUGGACGAGAGUCUGAACCAGCCAAGUAGCGUGAAGGAUGACUGCCCUAUGGGUUGUAAACUUCUUUUAUAUGGGAAUAAAAUGUUCCACGUGUGGGAUUUUGUAUGUACCAUAUGAAUAAGGAUCGGCUAACUCCGUGCCAGCAGCCGCGGUAAUACGGAGGAUCCGAGCGUUAUCCGGAUUUAUUGGGUUUAAAGGGAUCGUAGGUGGAUUGUUAAGUCAGUUGUGAAAGUUUGCGGCUCAACCGUAAAAUUGCAGUUGAAACUGGCAGUCUUGAGUACAGUAGAGGUGGGCGGAAUUCGUGGUGUAGCGGUGAAAUGCUUAGAUAUCACGAAGAACUCCGAUUGCGAAGGCAGUUCACUGGACUGCAACUGACACUGAGGCUCGAAAGUGUGGGUAUCAAACAGGAUUAGAUACCCCAGUAGUC
rnacentral:rRNA from 1 species